rnacentral:rRNA from 1 species
GACGAACGCUGGCGGCGUGCUUAACACAUGCAAGUCGAACGGUGAACUCCGCUUGCUGGGGGAGCAGUGGCGAACGGGUGAGUAACACUUGGGCAACCUUCCCUCAGCUCUGGGAUAACUCCAAGAAAGUGGGGCUAAUACCGGUUAUGGCCGCUAACGGCAUGGUGUGGUGGUGGAAGAAUUUAUCGGCGGGGGAUGGUCCCGCGGCCUAUCAGCUUGUUGGUGGGGUAGUGGCCGACCAAGGCGACGACGGGUAGCCGGCCUGAGAGGGUGAACGGCCACACUGGGACUGAGAUACGGCCCAGACUCCUACGGGAGGCAGCAGUGGGGAAUAUUGCGCAAUGGGCGGAAGCCUGAUGCAGCGACGCCGCGUGGGGGAUGAAGGCCUUCGGGUUGUAAACCUCUUUCAGCAGGGACGAAGCGAAAGUGACGGUACCUGCAGAAGAAGCACCGGCUAACUACGUG